AGUCUAGCCAUAACUCGAGAAAGAAGCUUUAGUUUGCUAAUCCACGAAUCAAAAUCCAAGAGAACGUGGCUAGAAGCCUAUAGAAGCUGUUAGUUUUCGUCGCAUUGUAACCGUUGAGCAGUUACAGCUGGAACAGACAGACAGACACACGCACAGUCAGCUCAUAGAUAGUAGAGGAGAGGGAUUGGAAACGCAUGCGUGGGACUCAGUACAAUUUCGGCCCAUCCGUGUCUCGCCUACGCCCACGCAAUGCUGUAGCGGUAACUGAAGCAAGGCAUCUUUUUAGAAGGACAGAGAAGUGCCUUGGCCUCAGGGAUAUUGCACAGGGCUAUGCCAGUUAGUACUAUGCUCUUAGUACCUAGUAUAGUUGUAACCUUAACCUAGAAGUGUCUACUAAAGGAGUUUCAUGAGUUUUUUUAAGCUUUCCUUGACUGGCUGAGGAUUGUGGGAUUUUUUUAUCUCUCCAAAAAGAAGUACAGCCUGUUUGAGAUUGAAGACAAGUACAGUGUUAUACAAAUGGAUCGGCAAGUUUUUUGGGGAAGAGUUAUGAGAGAAUAAACGACAGAAGUGUCAGUUGUGGAAGACCCAAGAGUUUACAUCGGCAGACUGUAGAACGUUCACUGAACCACUAUAUACCAAAGAGGACGUUCAAGAAAAUUGAAUCAUUAUUUCUGUCUUUACAUCACGAGUAGACAUACAAUAAUUAUGUUAAAUUGUUUGUAUAAUGAAUUGUUUAUGAUCUAGAUCUAUAAAAGAGAAGUUAACAUGUUCUUGAACUUCUAUUAACACUGUGUCUGAUACCACUGUAAACUAUUUCAUACAAUGGCGAAAACUCCUCUAAUACUAACUUCUGAAACACGAAUGGAAGCUAGUAGCCUAACUUGAUCCUAGUAGCCUUCCUGCCUGUCUCAUGUCUCUUUCUGGCUAGUCAGUAGUAGCCUUCCUGCCUGUCUUUUGGCUGUUAAAGAUUAAAAUACUAAAAUUAUCAUAGGACAAAGGUCAAUUUCUAGUGACGGAGGCAGGAAAGGAAGAAAUUUAACCGUGACACGCAUGGGCCGGGCAUUUACGUAUGCGUUUCCAAUCCCUCUCCU